rnacentral:tRNA from 1 species
AUUUAUAUAGUUUAAUUAAAACAUUUUAUUUUCAAUAAAAAAAUAAUACAUACUUUAUAUUUAUAAAUU